rnacentral:rRNA from 1 species
CGUGUAGGCGGCCAACCAAGUCGGGUGUGAAAGCCCUCGGCUCAACCGAGGAAGUGCGCCCGAAACUAGCUGGCUUGAGUACCAGAGAGGGUGGCGGAAUUCCCGGUGUAGAGGUGAAAUUCGUAGAUAUCGGGAGGAACACCAGCGGCGAAGGCGGCCACCUGGAUGGAUACUGACGCUGAGACGCGAAAGCGUGGGGAGCAAACA